GGGGGCGAUUGGAUUCGACUGGGUCACCGUAGGUUUGGGUGGCGUGCCGUGGUUGAUCAGCUGGCCACGUAAAAAGCUGAUCGAAUUUAACUGCCAACAAGCAGUUUGCUUUGGCUGCGUAAACGCAGCUCCGGCCGAUGGAUCCUUGCCCGAGGAGCCUGAAGGUCGGUCAAAAAUCGGGCUGGUACCAGGUCAGCCGUCCGCUACGCCUGGUACGAGAAACCGUGGUGGACUAGCUGUCGUACGUGUCUUGUCCGUGGAACCGUCGACAGUGAGAUCAAUCAACGGAAUACGCACGUAGAGGCCUUUACUGAGGGAUCACAGGACGCGGGUUCGAUUCCCGCCGCCUCCAC
rnacentral:tmRNA from 1 species